AUUGAACGCUGGCGGCAGGCCUAACACAUGCAAGUCGAACGGUAACAGGAAGAAUCUUGCUUCUUUGCUGACGAGUGGCGGACGGGUGAGUAAUGUCUGGGAAACUGCCUGAUGGAGGGGGAUAACUACUGGAAACGGUAGCUAAUACCGCAUAACGUCGCAAGACCAAAAAGGGGGACCUUCGGGCCUCUUGCCAUCGGAUGUGCCCAGAUGGGAUUAGCUAGUAGGUGGGGUAACGGCUCACCUAGGCGACGAUCCCUAGCUGGUCUGAGAGGAUGACCAGCCACACUGGAACUGAGACACGGUCCAGACUCCUACGGGAGGCAGCAGUGGGGAAUAUUGCACAAUGGGCGCAAGCCUGAUGCAGCCAUGCCGCGUGUAUGAAGAGGGCCUUCGGGUUGUAAAGUACUUUCAGCGGGGAGGAAGGGAGUAAAGUUAAUACCUUGGCUCAUUGACGUUACCCGCAGAAGAAGCACCGGCUAACUCCGUG
rnacentral:rRNA from 1 species